rnacentral:rRNA from 1 species
AGCAGUAGGGAAUCUUCCACAAUGGGCGCAAGCCUGAUGGAGCAACACCGCGUGAGUGAAGAAGGGUUUCGGCUCGUAAAGCUCUGUUGUUAAAGAAGAACACGUAUGAGAGUAACUGUUCAUACGUUGACGGUAUUUAACCAGAAAGUCACGGCUAACUACGUGCCAG